rnacentral:lncRNA from 1 species
UUCUGUUUACUUAGUUCUGUUACUGGCCUUUUCUUCAUUAAGACGGAAAAAUCAAAGCCUGACGUGAUAAGCAUAACGUCCACAUUUGACUUACUUCGGUGUGAGAAGGCAGCCUUCCCCCCAGUCUCAGCCUUGCAGCUCAUCCCAGCAGUGGAGGUCUGAUGAGACGGCUGCAGAAGCAGGAGAAUCAGCUGCUGGAAUAUGCAGGCCCCCUCCCAGCUGAGCACAUGGGUUCUUCAGCCCCUCUGUUUGGAAACUGUCUGCUUAAAUGUCUUAUCUUUCUAAUCUUGGCUUAAAGGUGACUUCUUCAGCCAGCCCUCCCCCCCUGCUUACCUAUAACUAAAAAUAGUGUCUCCAUUUGUAUCUUGGGGUUUCUCUUUAUCUCCUACUUAAAUCGUUGGUUUUACUCACUGCCAUUCCGGACAGCUGGCGCCGGUCCUGUCGCAUAGGUGGAGUUGAGCACACGUGUGUAAGUCCGGAGCCCUUCUGGGCUUUAGUUUGUGGGAGGAUCCUUCAGGCACAAGGGCUGAGUUCUCUGCAUUCCAGCCUUCUGCGGCUAACCACCGUCAGCUGCUACUUACGUAAGAAUUGCUUUCUGACUACAUGGCAUGCACCUGACCUUGAAGGCCGAAAGCUUUUUAAGUGAGGAGUGGAAUUAAAAAGAAGGAGAAUUAGCAGAUUAAAUUUUAUAUGUUAGUAUUUUCCAAGUGACACUAGGGUUAGAAAAAGAAUUAUCAAGAUAAACUUUGAUAAUUACUGCAUUAGAGCCAUAAGAUUUACACUUUGUCUAUAUUGAUUUAUUUGUCUAUAUUAAACUUUUGUCUGUAUUGUCUGUAUUGAUGCUUUGUCUAUAUUGUCUUAGGUCUUGAUAUGAGAAAUAAAAAGAAUUAGUAGUUGCAUCUUUUACUUAUUAAAAAUAAGAUAUUUAAAAUUCAUUUUCAUGGUGGAUUUUGAAAAAUUGUGUUUAUAUAUCGAUGUAAUAAAGGUCAGCAUCUUAGCCAUUUUAACGUGUGCGGCUCAGUGGCGUUAGUGCGUUCACCAUCACUGCCAUCCUGUUGCUAGAACUUUUCAUCUUCCCAGACCCUGUUGAACCCUGACUGCCCCCUCUCCUCUCCCCUUGGCCCCUGGGAACAACUGUUUUACUUUUAUUUCUAUGAAUUUGAUGAGUUUUAAAAUUCUUUUCCAUAAAUUAUUGUCCACACUAAUAUGUAAUACUAAUAUCUCGUGUCUCCAGGAAUCACCUCGUUUAAGAUAACCUUGGCCUACCUGAUGCAUAGUUGCCUUACCUUGGGAAAUGGCAGACACUUCUCAUUAAGGACCCGAAAUUACCUGCUUUAGUCCCUGCCCCCAGCCAUCACUAACCUUAACAUGCUCACCUCGAGAAAGAUCAUCUUGCUCAUUUGAGAAAACAGUAACUCUAGAGAAUGACUUUUUAGUGACAGAUGGUAAGAUGGACUUCCUUGAAUAUGUUUUCAUGUGCUUGGGAUUCCAAACUUUUUACCAGUCUCCACUGAGAAAGGCAAAAAGAACCAAAAACAGUCACUUAGUAUUUUUA